rnacentral:ribozyme from 1 species
CACAACCAUUAGACUGAUACCCCUAGAGAAUAACAGUUGAUAUAGGACAGAGGUUGAGAUCUGAGACUUGGAUAUGAUGACUGUCCCUGUUAUGACGAGGUGUGACUAUUAACCCUUUAUAACAGAGGUAGGACUAGUUACCCUAUAGAGGAGGAAUGAACGGUUAGACUAAAUCUUAAAUCCUGGAACCUGUUGUGAAUGAGUUGAGUGGUGAGUUAAAAGGAAAGAGAAAAGAAC